CAACAGCAUUGAAUUUUUGACUCAUGUUGAGGUUGUGAUCCACCACAACAACCAGAUCCUUCUGAGCAAUGCUGCUGCCAAGCCAGUUAUCCCCUAUUCUGUAUUUGUGCAUUUGGUUUUUCUUCCCUAAGUAUAGCACGUUACAUUUGUCUUUGUCGAAUUUCAUUUGUUGUCUAUAGCCCAGUUCUCCAAUUUAUCAAGAUCCUCCUGAAUUUUAACUCUAUUCUAAGAAGU